rnacentral:rRNA from 1 species
UACGUAGGGUGCGAGCGUUAAUCGGAAUUACUGGGCGUAAAGCGUGCGCAGGCGGUUUUUUAAGUCAGAUGUGAAAUCCCCGGGCUCAACCUGGGAAUGGCAUUUGGGACUGCAAGGCUGGAGUGCGGCAGAGGAGACUGGAAUUCCUGGUGUAGCAGUGAAAUGCGUAGAUAUCAGGAGGAAUACCGAUGGCGAAGGCAGGUCUCUGGGCUGACACUGACGCUCAUGCACGAAAGCGUGGGGAGCAAACAGG